rnacentral:tRNA from 1 species
GUCUCGAUAGCUCAGCUGGAUAGAGCAAUGCCCUUCUAAGGCAUCGGUCGGGGGUUCGAAUCCCUCUCGGGACG